rnacentral:rRNA from 1 species
GACGAACGCUGGCGGCGUGCCUAAUACAUGCAAGUCGAACGCAGUGGGGACGGGUGAGUAAAACGUGGGUAACCUCCCAUCAGAGGGGAUAACACUUGGAAACAGGUGCUAAACCGAUACUGAUGGAUGGACCAGCGGUGAAUUAGCUAGUUGGUGAGGUAACUGCUCACCAAGGCCACGAUGCAUAGCCGACCUGAUAGGGUGUCCGGCCACCCUGUGACUUAUACACGCCCCAGACUCCUACGGUAGGCACCAGUAGGGAAUCUUCGGCAAGGGACGAAAGUCUGACCGAGCAACGCCGCGUGAGUGAAGAAGUUUUUCGGAUCGUAAAACUCUGUUGUUAGAGAAGCGGUAUCUAACCAGAAAGCCACGGCUAACUACGUGCCAGCAGCCGCGGUAAUUC